rnacentral:rRNA from 1 species
GACAGAGGAGCCAAGCGUUGUCCGGAUUGACUGGGCGUAAAGCGCACGCAGGCGGUCGCGCGCGUGGGGUGUGAAAACUGGCGGCUUAACUGCCAGAGGCCAUCCCAUACGGCGUGACUCGAGCCAUGCAGAGGUCCACGGAAUUGCCGGUGUAGUGGUGAAAUGCGUAGAGAUCGGCAGGAACACCCAGGGGGAAAUCAGUGGACUGGGCAUGGGCUGACGCUCAGGUGCGAAAGCGUGGGGAGCGAACCGG